UCUAGUUGUUUUAAUACAUCAUUAAGCUAGAGCAAAAGCAUCACCUUUCAUAUACGUUAUCAUAUAUAGCAUCCGUGUUUCUGGUGAAAUGAAUGUGUGCAACAUUUUAAAAUUGUACGCAUAAGAUUUUAUUGUUAAAAACAUUUUAAUUAUCUUUAUUAAGUACAGUAAUAUUAUGUUAAUAUUUUUUUCGAUUUUAAAAUAAAUAAAUUUUAUCAACAUCAUUUAUGUAGUGUGUGCAGAUCUUUUUAUUAAUUUGUGAUGAGCAAGGGAAGACUAUACACUGAAAAUCGUGAAAACCAUACAUACCAUAAACCUCCGAAUAUAAGCCCCCCCCCCCGUGUACAAGCCCCCCUUGUGUAAGCCCAUCAAAAAUCGCUUACGAAAGAAUAUAAGCCCAGUGCUUUUAGGUGGAGGUUUACGG